AGUGGCGGACGGGUGAGUAAUGUCUGGGAAACUGCCCGAUGGAGGGGGAUAACUACUGGAAACGGUAGCUAAUACCGCAUAACGUCUUCGGACCAAAGUGGGGGACCUUCGGGCCUCACACCAUCGGAUGUGCCCAGAUGGGAUUAGCUAGUAGGUGGGGUAAUGGCUCACCUAGGCGACGAUCCCUAGCUGGUCUGAGAGGAUGACCAGCCACACUGGAACUGAGACACGGUCCAGACUCCUACGGGAGGCAGCAGUGGGGAAUAUUGCACAAUGGGCGCAAGCCUGAUGCAGCCAUGCCGCGUGUAUGAAGAAGGCCUUCGGGUUGUAAAGUACUUUCAGCGGGGAGGAAGGCGAUGGAGUUAAUAGCUUCAUCGAUUGACGUUACCCGCAGAAGAAGCACCGGCUAACUCCGUGCCAGCAGCCGCGGUAAUACGGAGGGUGCAAGCGUUAAUCGGAAUUACUGGGCGUAAAGCGCACGCAGGCGGUCUGUCAAGUCGGAUGUGAAAUCCCCGGGCUUAACCUGGGAACUGCAUUCGAAACUGGCAGGCUAGAGUCUUGUA
rnacentral:rRNA from 1 species